ACAGCUCUUUUUGGGCAGAGCAUGUAAGGGAAACUUCAUGCAUAUGAUAGGCAAGAAGUGUCAAAGAGGACAGAAAAGGCAGAAGAAACCAAGCCAUCUUGGACCACUCGAUGGUUCCUAGGAGGAAAGGCUGGCUGAUGUUGUGACACCACUCUGGACGGCUGAGCUAUGAGGAACAGCUCAAGAUGAAAUUUGAAGCUCAGAAGAAGAUUUUACAGAGACUAGAGUCUUACCUCCAAAUGCUCAAUGGUGUCAAUGUGACAACAUCUAUACCCAGACCUGAGGGGCUCUGUUGUCUUCUCCAUCUAUUAUACCCUUUGUAAGCCACCACUUCCCUAUCCUUUAUCUACUAAGUCCCCUUGUUAGCUAUUAAGCUAAUAAUAUCACCGGGCACUUAUUGGGCACUUCCUGGGGACAAGGCCCUGUGCUAAGUGAUUAGCACACAUCACUGUCUAGUUUACUGUUUAUAGUCACCCUGAGGGGUAGGCACUAUUAUUUUACAGAAGAGAGAUUAAAUAAUUUGGCCCAGAACACACGUCUAGAAAGUGCCAGAGCUGAAGUUCACACUCAGGUCUAUUCAAUGCAAAGCCUACUUUCUCAACCACUAUAGUAUUUUCUCCUUAGAAGGAUUUCAGACUUUGGAAACCUAAUGAGGCCUCAGAGAGGCAGAACUUAAUUUAUGGCAGAGGUUGGCAAACUAUGGGCCUUAGGCCACAUCUGUCCCACACCUGAACUUUAUUUUAUAAAUAAACUUUUAUUGGAACAUAGCUGAGCUCACUUGUUUAUGAAUUGUCUGUGGCUGCUUUUGCACUGCAUGGCAGAGUUAAGUGAUUGUAACAGGAACCACAUGGCCUGCAAAACCUAAAAUUAUUAUCUGGCUCUCUACUGAGAAAGCUUGCUGACCCAUGCUUCAUGACAAGAUUGAAACUCCUUUGCACUAUGGAGUAUCUGGAGUGUCUUGACCUCAGCUAUGGACUUUCGCAUAUGCCAUACCUUCCAAGCAAGCAUCAUUUAUUUGCCCUCAUGAGAGAACAUUCUUACAUCCCUUUUACUUCUGUGCUCUUCAGUUUCAUUUGUCCUGUUGUGCCUCUCCUGCCCUGCC